UACGUAGGGUGCGAGCGUUAAUCGGAAUUACUGGGCGUAAAGUGUGCGCAGGCGGCCGCACAAGUCGAGUGUGAAAGCCCCGAGCUUAACUUGGGAAUUGCGCUCGAAACUACGUGGCUGGAGUGUGGCAGAGGAAGGUGGAAUUCCACGUGUAGCGGUGAAAUGCGUAGAGAUGUGGAGGAACACCAAUGGCGAAGGCAGCCUUCUGGGCCAACACUGACGCUCAUGCACGAAAGCGUGGGGAGCAAACAGG
rnacentral:rRNA from 1 species